rnacentral:rRNA from 1 species
GUGGGGAAUAUUGGACAAUGGGCGCAAGCCUGAUCCAGCCAUGCCGCGUGAGUGAUGAAGGCCUUAGGGUUGUAAAAUUCUUUCACCGGGGACGAUAAUGACGGUACCCGGAGAAGAAGCCCCGGCUAACUUCGUGCCAGCAGCCGCGGUAAUACGAAGGGGGCUAGCGUUGCUCGGAAUUACUGGGCGUAAAGGGCGCGUAGGCGGACAGUUUAGUCAGAGGUGAAAGCCCAGGGCUCAACCUUGGAAUUGCCUUUGAUACUGGCUGUCUUGAGUACGGGAGAGGUGAGUGGAACUCCGAGUGUAGAGGUGAAAUUCGUAGAUAUUCGGAAGAACACCAGUGGCGAAGGCGACUCACUGGCCCGUUACUGACGCUGAGGCGCGAAAGCGUGGGGAGCAAACAGGAUUAGAAACCCGUGUAGUCC